rnacentral:rRNA from 1 species
CCAAAAGCUGGCGACCGGCGCACGGGUGAGUAGCACGUAUCCAACCUGCCUCAUACUCGGGGAUAGCCUUUCGAAAGAAAGAUUAAUAUCCGAUAGCAUAUAUUUCCCGCAUGGGUUUUAUAUUAAAGAAAUUCGGUAUGAGAUGGGGAUGCGUUCCAUUAGUUUGUUGGGGGGUAACGGCCCACCAAGACUACGAUGGAUAGGGGUUCUGAGAGGAAGGUCCCCCACAUUGGAACUGAGACACGGUCCAA